rnacentral:rRNA from 1 species
UUCAGGGGUAAACGGAAAAGACCCGAAAUUUCCGAAAGGGGAGAUUCACGUCUUCUCGCUGACUCAACUCUCUGACCAACGUCGACGGUUCUAUGCCUCAUUCGAACUUGUUCGGAGCGAGUGGUGGAGCCGCCGUGGUCGGGGUUGUGGGGUCGCGGCAGACCGCACUUCUCCCCUAGUAGGACGUCGUGACCCGUCCGGUGAUGGUCUGAGAGUGUGUAUGGGAGCCUGUUCGUGCUACUUCGGUAGUCAUGAGCAGACCUUCGCAUUUCUGGCCAUGAACGCUCCGGUCGGUAUCGAAAGACAGUGUUGAACCGCUCCGCUGAGGGAGAGAUCCCUUUUCGAGAGCGCGAUUGGUCCUUGGCAAGGUGUCGAGUCGCGUUUGUCAAGUCGGGCCUUCGUCCGUCUGACUGCUCUCGCGCCUGUUGGUCGAGGUACUCUAUCGCCGGUUGAAAUGAAUGGCACUAGUCUACGGCGAAUCAGUUUUGGGCUCUUGUCCGACCCGUCUUGAAACACGGACCAAGGAGUUUAGCGUGUGCGCGAGUCAUUGAGUGACAAAACUCAAAGGCGUAAUGAAAGUGAAGGGAACUUUACGUUUCUGAGGGAGGAUGAGUGUGCUCUUCACGGGGCCGUUCCGCACUCCCGGGGCGUCUCUAUCUCAUUGCGAGAGGAGGCGCACCUAGAGCGUACACGCUGAUACCCGAAAGAUGGUGAACUAUGCCUGGCCAGGACGAAGCCAGGGGAAACCCUGGUGGAGGUCCGCAGCGAUUCUGACGUGCAAAUCGAUCGUCGGAGCUGGGUUUAGGGGCGAAAGACCAAUCGAACCAUCUAGUAGCCAAUAGAUGAGAACCCUGGCUUUCUUAAACUAUGAAGCCAAGGGGUUUCGGAUCAGAGUGCCAAGUGGGCCAAUUUUGGUAAGCAGAACUGGCGCUGUGGGAUGAACCAAACGCGGAGUUAAGGCGCCUCAAUCGACGCUCAUGUGAGACCAUGAAAGGCGUUGGUUGCUUAAGACAGCAGGACGGUGGCCAUGGAAGUCGGAAUCCGCUAAGGAGUGUGUAACAACUCACCUGCCGAAGCAACUAGCCCUGAAAAUGGAUGGCGCUGUAGCGUCGUGCCUAUACUCCGCCGUCAACGGCAACGCAGGCAGCUCUCUAACGGGAGCGGCGCUGUUAAGCCUUGACGAGUAAGAGGGCCGCGGCGACGUGCGCAGAAGGGUUUUGGGCGUGAGCCUGCCUGGAGCCGUCGUCGGUGCAGAUCUUGGUGGUAGUAGCAAAUACUCCAGCGAGGCCCUGGAGGACUGAUGUGGAGAAGGGUUUCUUGUGAACAGCUGUUGCACAAGAGUCAGUCGAUCCUAAGCCCUAGGAGAAAUCCGAAGCGAUGGGUUGCCGUUAAAUGUCACAAGCUUGAUGUUGGCACCAUUUGGGCGAAAGGGAAUCUGGUUCCUAUUCCAGAACCUGGCAGUGGAACCGUUCCAAAUCGGGCCCUCAUUGAGGACUCGUCAGGGCAACCUGAAAGGACCCGGAGACGCCGUCGGGAGAUUCAGGGAGAGUUGUCUCUUCUCUAUAAGCGAUCGAGUUCCCUGGAAACCUCUAGCAGGGAGAUAGGGUUUGGAUCGCGAAGAGCACCGCAGUUACGGCGGUGUCCGAAUCUUCCCCACGGACCUUGAAAAUCCGGGAGAGGGCCACGAGGAACCCCACGCCAGAUCGUACCCAUAUCCGCAGCAGGUCUCCAAGGUGAAAAGCCU